GCCUGGGAUGGCUCAGUCAGCAGAGCAUAAGAUGUUUAAUCUCAGGGUUGUGGGUUCGAGCCCCCCAUUGGGUA